rnacentral:lncRNA from 1 species
CACUUUUAAUUUAUAUGAGUUUAUGGAGUAAAUUAAGUGUGGAAAGGAUGUUGAGUUUGGAAAUGAAAAAAACAAGGUUUUGGUUGUUUUGUUGAAGUCUGAACAAACUCGUACCUUUUUGACCCCUUUACGUUUUGAUUUGGUUUUUAUCGUCAACAUGAAAGUUGUAGAUCUCUUCGUUAGCUUUCCAACGAAUAUUGGUGCGUCUCAAUUGGACAACCAGAACUCAAGUUAUGAUCGUUUCCGUAAGAGGUGGAUUCGCAGAAAUUUUCCCACACUUCCUAGCACUCGAGCCAGGCACAGCAGAGGCCCAUUUUAGGCCAAAACCUGACCAUGGGGGCUGAGCAUAGGCGCAUGGUACUGUUCACAAGUGGACUUUUGUGACUUUUAGUUGACUUUAGGGGUUUAUGCACCCGGGACCUUUGUUGCUUAGUUUUUCGCGUAGAUUUCGUUACCGAGGUUUGUUGUUGGGCUAAGGAAUGCUAUUUGGAUUUGUCUUAUGGAAGACCAUUAGUUAUAG